rnacentral:tRNA from 1 species
GCUGGGGUAAUUCAGUUGGUAGAGUAGCAGACUUUUUAUCUGAGGGUCCAGGGUUUAAGUCCAUGUCCAGGCA